rnacentral:rRNA from 1 species
UACGAAGGGGGCUAGCGUUGCUCGGAAUUACUGGGCGUAAAGGGCGCGUAGGCGGAUAGCUUAGUCAGAGGUGAAAGCCCAGGGCUCAACCUUGGAAUUGCCUUUGAUACUGGCUGUCUUGAGUUCGGGAGAGGUGAGUGGAAUGCCGAGUGUAGAGGUGAAAUUCGUAGAUAUUCGGCGGAACACCAGUGGCGAAGGCGACUCACUGGCCCGAUACUGACGCUGAGGCGCGAAAGCCAGGGGAGCAAACGGG